GUUUGAUUAUGGCUCAGAUUGAACGCUGGCGGCAGGCUUAACACAUGCAAGUCGAGCGGAAACGAAGGUAGCUUGCUACCAGACGUCGAGCGGCGGACGGGUGAGUAAUGCUUAGGAAUCUACCGAGUAGUGGGGGAUAGCCAUUGGAAACGAUGAUUAAUACCGCAUAUAUCCUACGGGGGAAAGCAGGGGACCUUCGGGCCUUGCGCUAUUCGAUGAGCCUGAGUGAGAUUAGCUAGUUGGUGGGGUAAAGGCCUACCAAGGCGACGAUCUCUAGCUGGUCUGAGAGGAUGAUCAGCCACACUGGGACUGAGACACGGCCCAGACUCCUACGGGAGGCAGCAGUGGGGAAUAUUGCACAAUGGACGAAAGUCUGAUGCAGCCAUGCCGCGUGUGUGAAGAAGGCCUUCGGGUUGUAAAGCACUUUCAGCGAGGAGGAAAGGUCAGUAAGUAAUAUUUGCUGGCUGUGACGUUACUCGCAGAAGAAGCACCGGCUAAUUUAGUGCCAGCAGCCGCGGUAAUACUAAAGGUGCAAGCGUUAAUCGGAAUUACUGGGCGUAAAGCGCGCGUAGGUGGUUUGUUAAGUUGGAUGUGAAAGCCCAGGGCUCAACCUUGGAACUGCAUUCAAAACUGACUCACUAGAGUACGAGAGAGGUUAGUGGAAUUUCCUGUGUAGCGGUGAAAUGCGUAGAGAUGGGAAGGAACACCAGUGGCGAAGCGACUGACUGGCUCGAU
rnacentral:rRNA from 1 species